rnacentral:tRNA from 1 species
GGCGACGUGGCCAAGUGGAUAAGGCAAGGGUCUGCAAAACCCUCACCAUCGGUUCAAAUCCGAUCGUCGCCUCAA